rnacentral:rRNA from 1 species
UACGGGGGGGGCAAGCGUUGUUCGGAAUUACUGGGCGUAAAGGGUUUGUAGGUGGCUUGUUAAGUCAGACGUGAAAUCCCUCAGCUUAACUGGGGAACUGCGUCUGAUACUGGCGAGCUUGAGUGCAGGAGAGGAACGCGGAAUUCCAGGUGUAGCGGUGAAAUGCGUAGAUAUCAGGAGGAACACCGAUGGCGAAGGCAGGUCUCUGGGCCAUAACUGACGCUGAGAAGCGAAAGCAUGGGGAGCGAACAGG